rnacentral:rRNA from 1 species
CCUACGGGAGGCAGCAGUGAGGAAUAUUGGUCAAUGGGCGCGAGCCUGAACCAGCCAAGUAGCGUGAAGGAUGACUGCCCUACGGGUUGUAAACUUCUUUUAUAAGGGAAUAAAGUGAGGCACGUGUGCCUUUUUGUAUGUACUUUAUGAAUAAGGAUCGGCUCACUCCGGGCCAGCAGACGCGGUAAUACGGAGGAUCCGAGCGUUAUCCGGAUUUAUUGGGUUUAAAGGGAGCGGAGAUGGGUUGUUAAGUCAGUUGUGAAAGUUUGCGGCUCAACCGUACAAUUGCAAUUGAUACUGGCAGUCUUGAGUACAGUUGAGGUGGGCGGAAUUCGUGGUGUAGCGGUGAAAUGCUUAGAUAUCACGAAGAACUCCGAUGGCGAAGACAGCUUACUAAACUGACACUGACAUUGAUGCGCGAAAGUGUGGGUAUCAAACAGGAUUAGAUACCCUAGUAGUC